UACACUCCUACGGGAGGCAGCAGUGGGGAAUUUUGGACAAUGGGCGAAAGCCUGAUCCAGCAAUGCCGCGUGAGUGAAGAAGGCCUUCGGGUUGUAAAGCUCUUUUGUCAGGGAAGAAACGGUUAAAGCUAAUAUCUUUUGCUAAUGACGGUACCUGAAGAAUAAGCACCGGCUAACUACGUGCCAGCAGCCGCGGUAAUACGUAGGGUGCAAGCGUUAAUCGGAAUUACUGGGCGUAAAGCGUGCGCAGGCGUUUUUGUAAGUCUGAUGUGAAAUCCCCGGGCUCAACCUGGGAAUUGCAUUGGAGACUGCAAGGCUAGAAUCUGGCAGAGGGGGGUAGAAUUCCACGUGUAGCAGUGAAAUGCGUAGAUAUGUGGAGGAACACCGAUGGCGAAGGCAGCCCCCUGGGUCAAGAUUGACGCUCAUGCACGAAAGCGUGGGGAGCAAACAGGAUUAGAAACCCGAGUAGUCCCAUGA
rnacentral:rRNA from 1 species